rnacentral:rRNA from 1 species
GACGAACCGUGCGAACGUUAUUCGGAAUCACUGGGCUUAAAGCGCGUGUAGGCGGGGGGGCGCGUCGGCCGCUGAAAUCCCCCGGCUCAACCGGGGAAGGGGCGCCGAGACGGCCGGCCUGGAGGGACGUAGGGGGGGCUGGAACUUCCGGUGGAGCGGUGAAAUGCGUUGAGAUCGGAAGGAACGCCCGUGGCGAAAGCGAGCCCCUGGACGUCUACUGACGCUGAGACGCGAAAGCCAGGGGAGCGAACGGG